CCAGUGGUCUUUGGUGGUUCCAAAGUGUACUACAGAAAAACUUUGGAUUUCAGCCACACUGAGGCCACUGG
rfam:Astyanax mexicanus Tnplaced_Scaffold_2893, whole genome shotgun sequence.